ACACCACAGAAUGGAGUAAACAAGGCUGUGGCGGAGAUUAGUAGCUUCACGGCUGUAGGAAUGAUUCAGAGCUCGAAUACAGAAAAAUCAUUUAUAAGUGUUGGAUCUGAAGAAGCACGUUUGUGUGCAUCAAAGAGUGAUAAACAGGAACGCAACAACAUGAUUGGAACAUCAUUUAACGGUAUUAGCGUUGCAUCAAAUCAGAAGGGUAAAGAACAGG